rnacentral:rRNA from 1 species
AUGCCAAAAGAUGCAAAAUUGAUAAUGACAAGUGCAACAUACUUGUGGCACUGCCGUUUAGGUCAUAUUGGUGUAAAGCGCAUGAAGAAACGCCAUGCAGAUGGACUUUUGGAAUCACUUGAUUAUGAAUCAUUUGGUACUUGUGAACCAUGCCUCAUGGGCAAGAUGACUAAAACUCCGUUCUCCGGAACAAUGGAGCGAGCUGAUGACUUAUUGGAAAUAAUACAUACCGAUGUAUGCGGUCCAAUGAGUGUUAAAGCACGCGGUGGGUAUCAUUAUUUUCUGACCUUCAUAGAUGAUUUGAGUGGGUAUGGGUAUAUCUACUUGAUGAAACACAACUCCGAAACAUUUGAAAAGUUCAAAGAAUUUCAGAGUGAAGUGGAGAAUCAUCAUAACAAGAAAAUAAAGUUUCUACGAUCUGAUCGCGGAGACGAAUAUUUGAGUUAA